AUGCCUAGCGGAUGUGCUGACUGUGGAGUGCUUAGCAUUCUCCAGCGCCUGUACUGGCCGAAGAUUUCUGGCCUUGGGGAACAUCGCCUUUCAACCAUCCAGGUUCAUUGUGCGCGUUUUCGCUGGGCACGAGACUACCAGCGGCAGUUUUCGGGGACGCUUGACAGCUUCAAUGGCGUUUCACGAACCAUCCGAGUGCUUCGAAGUAUCCGUGUAGCAGCGUUCGAUUACCACUCAGUUCGAUCGUCACUCAUUUCAAGACCAUUGAAAUGAUAGUAUGACAGCGGUAUAAGACGUUUACGUCAUCUGCUUUGUGCCGUUCUAUUCAUUUGAGGCGUACUUGCUGCACUCCAACUGAAAAAAAAAAAAAAGUAAUUGCUUUAUCAUUUAAAUUUUAUUUUAUUUUA